rnacentral:rRNA from 1 species
CAGUCGCCGCGGGAAUACGGAGGGUGCAAGCGUUAAUCGGAAUUACUGGGCGUAAAGCGCACGCAGGCGGUUUGUUAAGUCAGAUGUGAAAUCCCCGAGCUUGACUUGGGAACUGCAUUUGAUACUGGCAAGCUAGAGUCUUGUAGAGGGGGGUAGAAUUCCAGGUGUAGCGGUGAAAUGCGUAGAGAUCUGGAGGAAUACCGGUGGCGAAGGCGGCCCCCUGGACAAAGACUGACGCUCAGGUGCGAAAGCGUGGGGAGCAAACAGGAUUAGAUACCCCUGUAGUCCCUGUCUCUUAUAC